rnacentral:lncRNA from 1 species
CUGGAAGCAUGAAAGACAUUGAAAAGCCUUGUCAUCCAUGACAAGACCGUGGUUGGCUGGGAUGCUCCUUGCGGAGUACAGGGGCCCCACCCAACAGACAUGAAGAUCGCCGCCCCACGCAAGCACUGUUCUGUGUGUAUGGACAUGAUCGUAACCGUACAGCGAAUUUGCCCAACAACGGAAACAGCAUUCUAAUAGUUUAAAAAUAUUGCAAGCGAAGAACAGAUGAGCAUGAGUAUCAAAACCACAAACAGACAAUCCCGACAGUCACACCUCACCACACAAUAUUAGCUGACUGUGCCAUGGCCCAUGCAUGGGACACCUGUGCACGCACCAUAAACAGGGCGCAGAGCAUCAAUCCAUUAUUGUACUCCUGCUGCACGACUCGUCCUGGCAGGAUCUGGCUGCUUCGUUCGUUCAUGCCCUGGCCGGCAGCGGCGCACAGCGGGGCGGAUGAAGCCCUGCCUUUCCGGCCGCUUUACUCUGUUGUCCAACGGACACCUUGAUCGGUGUCCAGGAUUCCACUUGGGCGGCUCCUUGCAUCUACAUGGGCCCUCGCAUGAUGUUCCUCACCCUCCCUGCCCCGUUCAGCCGGCCCUCGAUCAGGGCAUAAAACGUGCUGUUCACUACAGCAUCCGGCGGGAGCUUUCCGUCCCAGUACUUGUCGUACAGGGACGUUAGGCGUUCACGGACAGUUGUCUUGAUAGCCUCGACAUUUUGCGGGUCCUUGGUGACAUCAAAUGCAGCAUAUGGAUCAAUGCGACCGCCGUACAUGCCAC